AUUGAAUCAUCAGUUCUCAUAUGAUCACUGAAGUACAGCAAUGUUGAGCUUGGUCAGUACCUAGAUGGGUAACUGCUUUGGAAUACCAGGUGCUGUAA